AAUAUUGCACAAUGGAGGAAACUCUGAUGCAGCGCCGCCGCGUGAAUGACGAAGGCCUCCGGGUCGUAAAAUUCUGUCCUUGGGGACGAUAAUGACGGUACCCAAGGAGGAAGCCCUGGCUAACUACGUGCCAGCAGCCGCGGUAAUACGUAGGGGGCGAGCGUUGUCCGGAAUUAUUGGGCGUAAAGGGUUUGCAGGCGGUCUUUUAAGUCAGAUGUUAAAUGCAUAGGCUCAACCUAUGAGUGCAUUUGAAACUGGAAGACUUGAGUUAAGGAGAGGAAAGUGGAAUUCCUAGUGUAGCGGUGAAAUGCGUAGAUAUUAGGAAGAACACCAGUGGCGAAGGCGGCUCUCUGGACUGUAGCUGACGCUGAGGCGCGAAAGCGUGGGUAGCGAACA
rnacentral:rRNA from 1 species